AACGCAGAUAGCUAAGGCAUUUAUUUCACAUCACAUAAGACAAAUAUAUUUAAAAAAGAUAAAAUUCCAGUCAGUCAGGUUGGAAAAUUGUGCUUGAAAGCAGUAUUAUAAAGAAAGAAGGUGAGGUAUAGUCAUAAGUUCCAGCCUCCAGGCAGAGAAUGAUGGCAAAAACAUUUACCAGUCGGGCACCCUUUAGCAACAAAACCCAAAAAAGCAGGCAUCAAAAGUCACUACUUGACUGUAACAAUCUUGAUCACAGAUGCAGUUCCAACACGGUGAAGGGCUACAACGGAAUCUCCUUCCUUGCAUAAUCCUUUUGUUUUGGCAUGUUGAAGAGCAAAAUACAGUGCUUCUUCCGUAGACUCUUCAUGGGACGCCCUAGCUGACCCUGCAUGCAGAACAGGAACCAAUCCCCUGAAGAUAAGGCUGUGCCUUGCUGGAGACUCAUCACUGCAAGUCCAAUCAAAAGAAUCAGUCUUGAUCUCAGGGACAACCACAGACAAUAUAGGCAUUCCAGGCCUGUACUUGGCCACCAAUUUUGCCGUACUUCCUCCCCUGGUUAACACAAGAAUUAGAGCAGCUUUUGCAGAAUUAGCGGUACGAACAGCAGAAGACGCAAGGCUCUCCAAAGGACUCAUGGGAACUGGUGCAUUAGCCAUAAUUCUUUUAAACACAUCUGGAUAAUCAAUUGUGCUCUCUGCUUCAAUACAAAUCCUGGCCAUGGUUCCCACUGCAAGAUCAGGAUAAGCUCCAGCAGCUGUUUCACCACUA
rnacentral:misc_RNA from 1 species